rnacentral:rRNA from 1 species
AGGGAAUCCUCCGCAAUGGACGAAAGUCUGACGGAGCAACGCCGCGUGAGUGAAGAAGGCCUUCGGGUCGUAAAACUCUGUUGCCGGGGAAGAACAAGUGCCGUUCGAACAGGGCGGUGCCUUGACGGUACCCGGCCAGAAAGCCACGGCUAACUACGUGCCAGCAGCCGCGGUAAUACGUAGGUGGCAAGCGUUGUCCGGAAUUAUUGGGCGUAAAGCGCGCGCAGGCGGUUUCUUAAGUCUGAUGUGAAAUCUUGCGGCUCAACCGCAAGCGGUCAUUGGAAACUGGGAGGCUUGAGUGCAGAAGAGGAGAGUGGAAUUCCACGUGUAGCGGUGAAAUGCGUAGAGAUGUGGAGGAACACCAGUGGCGAAGGCGACUCUCUGGGCUGUAACUGACGCUGAGGCGCGAAAGCGUGGGGAGCAAAC